rnacentral:misc_RNA from 1 species
GAUGAAGAACGUAGCGAAAUGCGAUAAGUAAUGUGAAUUGCAGAAUUCAGUGAAUCAUCGAAUCUUUGAACGCACCUUGCGCCCUUUGGAUAUUCUGAAGGGCAUGCCUGUUUGAGUAUCGUGAACACCUCAACUCUCAUGGUCUGCCAUGAUGAGCUUGGACUUUGGGGGUCUUGCUGGCCUACUGUCAGCUCCUCUCAAAUGAAUCAGCUUACCAGUGUUUGGUGGCACCACAGGUGUGAUAACUAUCUACGCUUGUGGUUUUCUGCCAGGUAACCUCCAGUGAUGGAGGUUCGCUGGAGCUCACAAAUGUCUCUCCUCAGCGAGGACAGCUUUUUGAACGUUUGAUCUCAAAUCAGGUAGGACUACCCGCUGAACUUAAGCAUAUCAAUAAGCGGAGGA